GAAGAGAAUAUCGCCUUAA
rnacentral:snRNA from 1 species